rnacentral:rRNA from 1 species
GACGAACGCUGGCGGCGUGCUUAACACAUGCAAGUCGAGCGGUAAGGCCCUUCGGGGUACACGAGCGGCGAACGGGUGAGUAACACGUGGGUGACCUGCCCUCCACUCUGGGAUAAGCCCGGGAAACUGGGUCUAAUACCGGAUAUGACCAUCUCAUGCAUGUGGGUUGGUGGAAAGUUUUUCGGUGGGGGAUGGGCCCGCGGUCUAUCAGCUUGUUGGUGGGGUGAUGGCCUACCAAGGCGACGACGGAUAGCCGGCCUGAGAGGGUGAUCGGCCACACUGGGACUGAGACACGGCCCAGACUCCUACGGGAGGCAGCAGUGGGGAAUCUUGCGCAAUGGGCGGAAGCCUGACGCAGCAACGCCGCGUGGGGGAUGACGGCCUUCGGGUUGUAAACCUCUUUCGCGAUCGACGAAGCUCGCACUUGUGGUGUGGGUGACGGUAGGUCGAGAAGAAGCACCGGCCAACUACGUGCCAGCCGCCGCAGUAAAAC